AUGAACUUAUUGUUUGUUUGUUUUCACAAAGGAAGAAAUGUUGUGAAUUCAAGACAGAGCAUUGUUUCCUGCCAGAGUCUUUCUGGAAAAGGCAGUAGUGCUAAGGCAGGGUUUCUCUCAGAAAUACAGCGAGCCCUGAAGGAUUUCUAUUGGGAAGAUUUCAACAACUUUUUAGCAAACAAUGUUCACAUAAACCUGAAAUGAAGAGCCAAAGAGGAUGUGGUCUUUCAGCACCUCCAGCUAAAAAAUGCUGCAGAGGAACUUCCCGUAUUAAGGUAAAUGAACAAAUAAAUCUUCCUGUGGAGACACAAGUUUUCUGAACUGAUUUUAUUUGCAACACAGUUAUUCAAGUAUGGACUGGGAACAGGAAUGGGAGGGAGUGGGGAGCAAAAGAGGGAAGAUAUAAAAGUGUUGUACUUUUGAACUGGCUCUCCAGAAAUAAAGAAAAAGCCUUGAUAUGUAUGUCGAUUUCUGUGGUGUCCAUACUGUCACUAUGGCUCACUUCAAUCUUCUGAUUUGAUACCACUAACAAGGUGUUGCGAAGACAUGGGCAAAAUCAAUUCUUGUAGGUCAGUGAGAUCCACUCCAGAAGACAAAUCCCUGGAUGUAAACUUUCUUUGGUCUGACUGAUGCUUCCUUGUGGAGGUACCAGAACAGACCUUUGGUUUAAAAUGCAUCUCAAAUGUGAAAUCAGGUUCUUUUCUUUGCUUGAAGCACCUGCAAUAAUAUGCAGAGAUUGGAUUUCAGGUCCCACAUGCUCUUGAGUUAAUUUUGCUGGAUUAAAGGGUGUGCAGGCCCUUCUGAGUUAGGGCUGGCUAGGGUUUUGUGAACUCCAGCUGAGAUUCUGGCAUCUUCCUCAUCAAGUUUGGUAUUAACAGCUGCCACCUUCAGAAGACUGGUAGAGGUUCAAGGUUAGGCAAAAGCACAGAAAUUACAAAAACUGACACCUUUUAUCAAGGGCUACUUAAAAAUAUUGUCUGUUUUUGAAAAAAUGUGGGUAAAGAAAUGUUUUCAACAAAAGUUUGAUUGGUGGGUACGUAUCAUCUAUUUAUAUAUUAACAGCACAUGUAACUUGCAGCAUAAAUAUUUUAAAUAAAUUGAUAUACACAAUUCUUCCCUCCCUUCCUCCUUUCUUCCCUCCUUCCUUCCCUUCCUUUCCUCUCUCUCUCCUUGCUUCCUUCCUUUCUUCCUUCCUUCAUUCCCUCUCUCUCUCUUUUCUUCCUUCCUUCCUUCCUUCCCUCUCUCUCUCUCUCCUUCCUUCCUUCCUGUUGAGUAGUUAUAAGGUUCUAGGCAUGUAACUUAAUGUACACUUACUCUAGUAAAGCAAUUAAUAAGACAAAACUUGUACAUUGAAGGAGCUCAUAGUCAGGAAGAAGGAGACAGUUGCGUAAACACCUACUGAAGAAUGUUUCAGGGAUUGAGAUAAGAAGCUAAGCUGGGUAGCAAGCAAAAGCAUGAAAGCAGGACUGUUAAUUCUGGCUGGGUGAAGGGCCAAGGUGGAGAUCAAGGCUGAAUUUGUAAAGUCAUAACAGAGGAAUUUAAAAGGUGAGAAGCCUGAUAAUCAAGGCUAUGGGACGUGAAGGCAGUGUGAGAAGGGGUGGGUGGAAGCUUACUGACUGGUCAAGGCAGUGCAAGAAGUUUAACCUGUCUGGAAAUAUGCAGACAAGAACUGGAAAGGGCAGUCUGUGCAUGAAGAUUCCAGGAGAAGCCUGAUGAUGGAAAAACCUUAAAAUCACAUCGAGGUUUAUUUUAUAGUACUACUGUUGAAGAACCAUUUUGGGUUUUUAAUUGGGGAAUGAUACGAACAUUUCCGGGGUUGUUGCUCUGUUUUGUUUUUAAGGAUCAGUACAAACUAGCUGCAUGAAGAAUGGAUGGGAGAAUAAGAAGCUAUGGCAAUAACGACAGUUAGAAUAUAUCAAUGGGCAUGGAAGAGGCUGUUGACCUGGGGAGAGUACCAGUAAAGAUGGCCUAUGCAGGGGAAAGAACUCGGGGAUUUUAUAAAGUUAGAAUUGUCAGGACUUUGUCUUCAUUUCAGGCAGGGUGAAGGAAUGGUUUAAGUUGCCUCCAAGGUAUUUUGUUGGGGGUGAGGGGUACAGAGGGGUCUUACUGAAUGGUGAUGAAAAAGGGACACAAGCGAAGGAUCAACAUUGGAGAAAAGAUAACCAAACCCUGGGAAGCUUAAGGAACAAAAUGUAACAAAACAACAGGGAUUGUUUUAUAAAAUACUUUGAGAUAUCCAGGAUCAAAGAUAUGAUAAAAACUAACAUCGUGUAUUCUUGCAGUAACUUUUAAUUUACAAAAACAGUCCCAUACAUUAUCUCACUUGACUCUGACCCUUAUGCACUAUGUAAGAAGGGCAGGGCAAGCACCAGAAACCCAGGGUUACAAAAUGUAGUGAUUGGGUCUCAGAGGGAUUGCAAGGCAUGCUCAAAAUCCCACAACUGCGCUGAAAUAGGACAAAGAGAAAUAUGGUCACUCAGUGCUUAGAACUCGGAGGGAUCGUGAGGCAUGCUCGAAAUCCCACAACUGAACAGAAAUAGGACAAAGAGAAAUAUGUUUGCUCAGUCCUAGGUGCAAUGCUCAUGACAAGAAUGGGAGGACAGACGGAACCCCUUUAGAGCUUGAUUUUCCUUCCCUGUUGGAAUAUUUCUGCCUUUGGCACUGGAUACGAUACCUCCAGUAUCUGGCUUUGUUGAGUAGUUUCUUGAUGAGAUCCCCAGUCGUAUCAGUGGAGACAUGUGGGUCUUAUAUGUGUUGCCUAAAGUUAUGUCCAAACUGUUGAGGCCUUGAUGUUCCUGGAGCUUGAAUGACCCAUCACCUUGGAGGGUUCUGAAGUACUGAUCAUUUCACUGGUCAUCCUAAAACCUGAAACUGAAGACAGGGAGGCAAAAAUAUACUGUCAUCUUUUCCUUUCUGUGAAAAACAGAAAGAAAAACACAGUAAACCUGCCAUUUCCCUCAGGUCAAGUGACAGGCACUGACCCUUGAAUUUUCCAUUCAGAGAGCUCCAAAGUAAACACAGAAUCACGUAAGCCUGAAGAAAAGAAGCCAAAUUAGGAACAUCACACUUCCUCUCUCCCAGAGAAGACCAGUUUUUC
rnacentral:lncRNA from 1 species